rnacentral:rRNA from 1 species
GACGAACGUUGGCGGUGUGCUUAACACAUGCAAGUCGAACGGAAAGGCCCUGCUUUUGUGGGGUGCUCGAGUGGCGAACGGGUGAGUAACACGUGAGUAACCUGCCCUUGACUUUGGGAUAACUUCAGGAAACUGGGGCUAAUACCGGAUAGGAGCUCCUGCUGCAUGGCGGGGGUUGGAAAGUGUCGGCGGUUGGGGUUGGACUCGCGGCUUAUCAGCUUGUUGGUGGGGUAGUGGCUUACCAAGGCUUUGACGGGUAGCCGGCCUGAGAGGGUGACCGGCCACAUUGGGGCUGAGAUACGGCCCAGACUCCUACGGGAGGCAGCAGUGGGGAAUAUUGCACAAUGGGCGGAAGCCUGAUGCAGCAACGCCGCGUGCGGGAUGACGGCCUUCGGGUUGUAAACCGCUUUCGCCUGAGACGAAGCGUGAGUGACGGUAAUGGGUAAAGAAGCACCGGCUAACUACGUG